UACGGAGGGUCCAAGCGUUGUCCGGAUUUAUUGGGCUUAAAGGGUGCGUAGGCGGAUCUUUAAGUCAGUGGUGAAAUCCUGCAGCUUAACUGUAGAACAGCCAUUGAAACUGAGGAUCUUGAAUUUGGUUAAAGUAGGCGGAAUGUAUCAUGUAGCGGUGAAAUGCUUAGAUAUGAUACAGAACACCGAUAGCGAAGGCAGCUUGCUGAACCAAUAUUGACGCUGAGGCACGAAAGCGUGGGGAGCGAACAGG
rnacentral:rRNA from 1 species